rnacentral:rRNA from 1 species
GACGAACGCUGGCGGCGUGCCUAAUACAUGCAAGUCGAGCGAAUUUACGAGAGCUUGCUCUCGUAAAUUAGCGGCGGACGGGUGAGUAACACGUGGGCAACCUGCCUAUAAGACUGGGAUAACUUCGGGAAACCGGAACUAAUACCGGAUAAUUCACAUCUACUCAUGUAGAUGUGCUGAAAGACGGUUUCGGCUGUCACUUAUAGAUGGGCCCGCGGCGCAUUAGCUAGUUGGUGAGGUAACGGCUCACCAAGGCCACGAUACGUAGCCGACCUAGGAGGGUGAUCGGCCGAGCUGGGACUGGGAGACGGCCCAGACUCCUACGGGAGGCAGCAGUAGGGAAUCGUCCGCAAUGGACGAAAGUCUGACGGAGCAACGCCGCGUGAGUGAUGAAGGUUUUCGGUUCGUAAAACUCUGUUGUUAGGGAAGAACAGGUACCAGAGUAACUGCUGGUACCUUGACGGUACCUAACCAGAAAGCCACGGCUAACUACGUGCCAGCCGCCGCGGUAA